AAAUGCUCCGUUUAUCAACAGUGCUACGUCAGAUGAGGCCAGUGUCCAGAGCACUGGCCCCACACCUACUACGGACCUAUGCAAAAGAUGUUAAAUUUGGAGCAGAUGCUAGAGCUCUUAUGCUACAGGGAGUAGAUCUUCUAGCAGAUGCUGUAGCUGUCACCAUGGGACCAAAGGGUAGAACAGUGAUUAUUGAACAAAGCUGGGGAAGUCCUAAAGUAACAAAAGAUGGUGUGACAGUAGCCAAGGCAAUUGAUUUGAAAGACAAAUUCAAAAACAUUGGUGCCAGGUUAGUUCAAGAUGUUGCCAACAACACAAAUGAAGAGGCAGGAGAUGGGACUACUACUGCAACAGUACUGGCACGUUCCAUUGCAAGGGAGGGCUUUGAGAAAAUCAGCAAAGGCGCUAAUCCUGUGGAAAUCAGGAGAGGAGUAAUGCUAGCAGUGGAUGCUGUCAUUUCUGAACUAAAGAAAUUGUCCAAGCCUGUUACAACCCCAGAAGAAAUUGCCCAGGUUGCCACAAUCUCAGCAAAUGGGGACCAGGAAAUCGGCAACAUAAUCUCUGAUGCAAUGAAAAAAGUUGGACGGAAGGGUGUUAUCACUGUUAAGGAUGGGAAAACCAUGAAUGAUGAAUUGGAAAUCAUUGAAGGCAUGAAGUUUGACAGAGGCUAUAUCUCACCAUACUUCAUUAAUACAGCCAAAGGACAGAAAUGUGAAUUCCAGGAUGCUUAUGUCUUAAUUAGCGAGAAGAAAAUUUCCAGUGUUCAGUCAAUAGUUCCAGCUCUUGAAAUUGCCAAUGCUCACCGUAAGCCUUUGGUCAUUAUUGCAGAAGAUGUUGAUGGUGAAGCCCUUAGUACUCUAGUCUUGAACAGAUUAAAAGUUGGCCUUCAAGUUGUUGCUGUAAAAGCACCAGGUUUUGGUGACAAUAGAAAGAACCAGCUUAAGGACAUGGCAAUUGCUACUGGUGGUGCUAUAUUUGGAGAAGAGGGUCUGGGACUAAAUCUAGAAGAUAUUCAGCCUCAUGACUUCGGUAAAGUUGGUGAGAUCAUUGUCACAAAAGAUGAUACCAUGCUCCUGAAAGGGAAGGGUGAAAAGGCUCAAAUUGAAAAGCGUAUUCAAGAAAUUAUUGAACAGUUAGAAGUUACUACAAGUGAGUAUGAGAAGGAGAAACUAAAUGAACGAUUGGCCAAGCUCUCUGAUGGAGUAGCAGUACUAAAGGUUGGUGGCACAAGUGACGUUGAGGUGAAUGAGAAGAAAGACAGAGUUACUGAUGCACUGAAUGCUACUCGUGCUGCUGUAGAGGAGGGUAUCGUUCUAGGAGGUGGUUGUGCAUUGCUUCGAUGCAUCCCAGCAUUAGAUUCUUUAACUCCAGUGAAUGAAGAUCAAAAAAUUGGCAUAGAAAUCAUUAAGAGAGCUCUGAAAAUUCCAGCAAUGACUAUUGCUAAGAAUGCAGGUGUAGAAGGAUCAUUGAUAGUUGAAAAAAUCAUGCAAAGCGCACCUGACAUUGGGUAUGAUGCAAUGCUUGGAGACUUUGUAAAUAUGGUAGAGAAAGGAAUCAUUGACCCUACAAAGGUUGUAAGAACUGCCUUGAUGGAUGCUGCAGGCGUUGCUUCCCUUUUAGCCACAGCAGAAGCUGUAGUUACUGAAAUUCCUAAAGAGGAAAAGGAAGUGCCCAUGGGAGGAAUGGGUGGAGGAAUGGGAGGUGGCAUGUUCUAAUUCCUGGAAUACAGAUACAUUGUGAACUGUGAUGGUUGAGACUGACAGUUUUCCAAAAACUUAGUCAGUGUAACGGGGUGGAUAGUGACUGAAGUGAGGCUGGUGUUUAAAGAAUCGCUGUAACCACUAGUUACUGGAUUUCAUUUAACACGUAGAACUGUUUACAGUCAUUGUUCAUGCCUACAGAUAAUUUAUUUUUUAUUUUUCAAUAAAAACAUUUGUACAUUCUUGCUACUGGGUGCAAGAUUGACAUACCAAUGUUCUGCUUGAAACUUAAUCAACUAAGGCACUUGAUAUUCUGUUUAAUCAGAAUUUAUUGGUGCUUGCCACUACUAGGAAAACUUCAGACAAAGCCAUUGUGUGCAAGACUUUAAAAAAUUGUGUACAAAGACAAAUAUACAAUUAUGUGACAACCUCUAUAAUAAAAGAUUGUUCAAAGUUA